CCGGCGCCGGUGUGUAUGGAGUAAGGCAGGGAUAGGAAGCUACAUCUUAUCUCUGCUUCUCGCUCCUGAUGAAUUCCGCAGGGGAGCAGCAUAGAGUGCAGCCAGCAACUCCCAGACUGUAGAGACAACCUUCAGAUUAGGUAAGUGAGGCAUGGGUGGCAGUUUGCAGAUCAGGUAAGUGAGGCAUGGGGUGGGGUAGCCUACAGAUCAGGUAAGUGAGGCAUGGGAGGCAGGGGUGAAGCCUACAGAUCAGGUAAGGGAGGCAUGUGGGAGGGCAGCCUGCAGAUCAGGUAAGUGAGGCAUGGGGGGCAGCUUACAGAUCAGGUAAGUGAGGUGGGGGGCAGCCUACAGAUUAGGUAAGUGAGGCAUGCAGGGCAGUUUACAGUUCAGGUAAGUGAGGUAUGGGGGG